GCCAUGUUUUGUUUUAUGAUUACCUAUCUGCUUGGCUCUGCCAAAUUAUGUUUAAAUCGAAUUCGGGUUCUAGUAGGACCGCAAACCCUACUCGGACUAGUGUACACAUGAGGGGACCGUGAGCUAACAUAGGAGUUGGCCAGUCCAGUGACCGUCAUGGAAUGUGGCCGCACUCCCGGUUCACACAAAGUUCAGAUAUGGUUGAACGUGAUCGAGGGACGGUGGUGUUGAGAAAAAAAAGGGAUAAUGCUAAUAAGUAGCUUGGAAGGUCCAGUACAUCAUGUCUUCAUACAUGAUGUAUUGUCUUGAACAUUUCCGCUGCAAUGUACUUUCUUUCUUUUAUGAUUAGGAUAUCAUUUACUGUCGAUCAGACACCAACAUCUCUCGUUACUCUGAUUAUUUUGCGAUGAAUCCUUUGAACUCACUAUGAGUACCUAAUUCAGGUUGUCUCGUUAUGUCAAAUGUUUCACGUUUUUCUUUUACCUUAUAUUUAGUCACGAUAUAGCCAAUCUUGCUAUAACUAGUAAGUGCGGUCGUGACAUCCGCAGAAGCUCUUCUUUCCUCUACUUUUCUGUGUGCUUUUGCAAUUUCAUUCUGCAUUUUUUCU